CACUCGGGAACGCAGGCUAAGUUCGCGCCGUCCUGGCGGCAGGCUCAAAGCGCAACUUCCUGUUGCUUCACCUACACUAGUACUUCCUGGUACGUCGCAACGCCUGCAUGACCCACAUCCUGUAGG
rfam:Virgibacillus soli strain PL205 scaffold000002, whole genome shotgun sequence.